rnacentral:sRNA from 1 species
AAUCAACUGCCGAAGACAGCAGGUGCCGUAAGGCGUAAGGAGAACCCGCCUGCCGAGGAAUGAUUAACAGAUAAGAGUUAUGAAUCAGAGAAUUCUUAUGCUGCCUCCUGUCUUGCAGGAGGCAGUUUUUCAUUCA